UGUAACGAUAAGAUAAGAUAGCCCUUAUCAGUCCCAUGAUUGGGAAAUUCACAGCAUUACAGCAGCAAAACGAGCAGGAAUAAAAUAAAUAGAAGCAGCAAUAAAAAAAUAACCCCCAACAUACAACAAUAGAAGACAAACAUACUCGCUCUCUCUCCUCCUCCUGAAGGGUUGAUCCAGACUACAUCCUGCCUUCCUGUGACUUGAUGUUUCAUCAGCAGGUACAGGAAGCCGGGGUAACUGAUGGUCAUGUCCGGCUCCGUGUAUCUCAGUCCAACCAGCUGCAUCACCAACUCGUCCACCCUGAUGCCUGCAGCAGGGACAAAUGGAACAGAGGUGGGGGUAAAACGCGGGUGCAGAAGCAGUGGGACGGAUAUUCUGUUUUUAUUGCAAUAAAUUUCACAUGUGCACAGGUGACAUAUAUUCUCUGAUCCCAGCCAGUCCAUUAAGCUUAAAGAAGCAGCUCCAGUCUGACUGUAUGAGAAAGUUCUCCACUUUGACACCACCCAUCUGUAUCCAUCAGCCACUGUCGGCUCAUUUCACUGAGAUCUCCAGCUGCACUCCGCUACAGCCACAGUGUUAGCAAUGCUGCUGGUCUUACCGUCCACCUCCUGAUCUUGUCCCACAGACUCUGGAACUCGGGCCAGUUUAGCUGAGCGAUGCCUUGGCUCUGGAGAAAAGUCUCAGGUCAAAGAAAUCAAACCAAAAAUAUCCCAACAGGCCUCGGAGGACACUGAGCUGACAGGCUGCUGAGAGUCAGCUGCUAACAGAUGUGUGAAGUGUAAGGACUUAUCAGCAAAGAACUUCAGAUCUCUCACAGAUUAGAUUCCUGCGCACGAUAAUAAAAUGUUUUGCUUUAA